UACGUAGGGUGCAAGCGUUAAUCGGAAUUACUGGGCGUAAAGCGUGCGCAGGCGGUUUUGUAAGACCGAUGUGAAAUCCCCGGGCUUAACCUGGGAACUGCAUUGGUGACUGCAAGGCUUGAGUGUGUCAGAGGGAGGUGGAAUUCCGCGUGUAGCAGUGAAAUGCGUAGAUAUCUGGAGGAACACCGGUGGCGAAGGCGGCAUCCUGGACCAACACUGACGCUGAGGAGCGAAAGCCAGGGGAGCAAACGGG
rnacentral:rRNA from 1 species